GAUGAACGCUAGCUACAGGCUUAACACAUGCAAGUCGAGGGGAAACGAUAUUGGAAGCUUGCUUCCGAUAGGCGUCGACCGGCGCACGGGUGAGUAACGCGUAUCCAACCUGCCCAUCACUUGGGGAUAACCUUGCGAAAGUAAGACUAAUACCCAAUGACGUCUCUAGAAGACAUCUGAAGGAGAUUAAAGAUUUAUCGGUGAUGGAUGGGGAUGCGUCUGAUUAGCUUGUUGGCGGGGUAACGGCCCACCAAGGCGACGAUCAGUAGGGGUUCUGAGAGGAAGGUCCCCCACAUUGGAACUGAGACACGGUCCAAACUCCUACGGGAGGCAGCAGUGAGGAAUAUUGGUCAAUGGGCGAGAGCCUGAACCAGCCAAGUCGCGUGGAGGAAGACUGCCCUACGGGUUGUAAACUCCUUUUACCUGGGAAUAACGGGCGCUACGCGUAGCGCUGUGCAUGUACCGGGAGAAUAAGCAUCGGCUAAUUCCGUGCCAGCACCGACGG
rnacentral:rRNA from 1 species